UUUUGGUGCUUCUGGGAUAGAAAGAAAUGGAUUUUAGUUCGCAUUCAAUUGCCUUUUGACUUUUCUUCGCAUGCAUUUUGAGUAGGGCUGUACCCUCUGCCGUUUUUUCCCAGCCACAAAUUGGACAAGUUGGUCUUACUGAAGAACUGGCUAUAAAAGAAUAGGGUGAUAUUGAUGUCUACUCUGCAAACUUCAGGCCACUCUAUCUGGGCUUCCUGAUUGGGUGGGUUUUCAUGAAACUUAUAGCCUGUGCAAAGACAAACAAAGUUCUUGGUCUGCACAUGUGUGGAGAAGAUUCUGCCGAAAUUCUGCAGGGAUAUGCAGUUGCUAUAAAAGCUGGGCUGACAAAAGCAGAUUUGAUGCCACGCUAGGUAUUCAUCCUCCAGCAGCUAAGGAGUUUGUCACAAUGCGUACUCCUACUAGGAAAAUACGACAGAGCCUUGAGUCUGAGUGAACCCUUCAAGUUGUGCAAUCAUCUCAAGCAAUUUGUUGGGACAACUGGUGUCUGUCCAUCUUGUUUAUGGUUGAUGGAACUCAGAUUUUGACUUGUUGAAUGAAUGAUCAUAUGGAGCAAAGCUAUCCUUUGGGGUGCCACUCAUUAAAGCAAGCUACAGAAGGAGAUUCGUAAACACAAGAUUGUACUGUGAAUUUGUUCUGAGAACCUUAACAUAGGAUCCCCAUCCAAGAAUCUCUCAAUUUUGCACUAAAUAAUCCAACCCCUAUAUUUUCUCUUUUUUUAAAUGAUGGCCGUAGUUUUUAAUUUUCCUUUUCAUCAACUUCAGUCAUUUACAUUAAUUUUUUUGGGGGAGAGAAAGAAUAUCCUUGUUUGUUUUCUGGAAGAUGACUUUGGCAUUCAUUAAUAGCUGGCUUGUUUGACCCACGUUUCCCAAGAGUUAAAAUAUCAAAUAAUCAAUGGGGGCCUAUCAUGGUGGGCAAGUUAACUGUAGACUAUUCUAGAUGGCUUGAUGCUGAUUGUUCAAUCUCCAUUACCUUGCACAUUAGCUUAGUUGGUGGCGGAUGAGUCGAAUAAAAUAAUAGUUCAAGGAAACAGAGAGACACUGUACAACCUAUGUAUUUGUUCAUACAAGAAGAACCAUACAUCAUCUAUCAUCUAUGAAACUUCUAUGUUUUAUACA